rnacentral:rRNA from 1 species
UACGAAGGGGGCUAGCGUUGCUCGGAAUCACUGGGCGUAAAGCGCACGUAGGCGGAUUGCUAAGUCAGGGGUGAAAUCCUGGAGCUCAACUCCAGAACUGCCUUUGAUACUGGCGAUCUUGAGUCCGGGAGAGGUGAGUGGAACUGCGAGUGUAGAGGUGAAAUUCGUAGAUAUUCGCAAGACCACCAGUGGCGAAGGCGGCUCACUGGCCCGUUUCUGACGCUGAGGUGCGAUAGCGUGGGGAGCAAACAGG